rnacentral:rRNA from 1 species
AGAGUUUGAUCAUGGCUCAGAACGAACGCUGGCGGCGUGCUCAUACAUGCAAGUCGAGCGAGAAAGGUCCCUUCGGGGACUGAUUAAAGCGGCAAACGGGUGAGUAACACGUGGGAAAUCUGCCCUCGGGUUGGGGACAAGCUUGCGAAAGCGGGUCUAAUACCGAAUAACAUCAUUCGAUCGCAUGAUUGGAUGAUCAAAGCAGCAAUGCGCCUGAGGAUGAUCCCGCGCCCCAUUAGCUUGAUGGUAGGGUAACGGCCUACCAUGGCUGCGAUGGGUAGCCGGCCUGAGAGGGUGAUCGGCCACACUGGGACUGAGAUACGGCCCAGACUCCUACGGGAGGCAGCAGUAGGGAAUAUUGCGCAAUGGCCUAACGGCUGACGCAGCAACGCCGCGUGGAUGAUGAAGCAUUUCGGUGUGUAAAAUCCUUUCAGUGGGGACGAACGGGCUUCGGCCUUUGACGGUACCCACAGAAGAAGCACCGGCUAACUCCGUGCCAGCAGCCGCGGUAAUACGGAGGGUGCGAGCGUUGUUCGGAUUUACUGGGCGUAAAGCGCACGCAGGCGGACUGUCAAGUCGGGUGUGAAAACCAUAGGCUUAACCUAUGGCCUGCACUUGAUACUGGCAGUCUUGAGUACCGGAGAGGAUGGCGGAAUUCCUGGUGUAGCGGUGAAAUGCGUAGAUAUCAGGAAGAACACCGGUGGCGAAGGCGGCCAUCUGGACGGAUACUGACGCUCAGGUGCGAAGGCUAGGGGAGCAAACAGGAUUAGAUACCCUAGUAGUCC